rnacentral:rRNA from 1 species
GGGGAGGGGGCUAACUGCAGUCGACGCCCCGCUGGGGAGUGGCACACGGGUGAGUAACACGUGGGAACAUACCCUUUGGUCUGGAACAACGUUCGGGCAAACUAGGCGCUAAUACCGGUAUACGCCUCGAAAGGGGAAAAGGACUAUUCUAGCCGAAGUGAGUUGGCCACGCUGUUACGAUUAUUCUUGGUUCGGUGAGUGUAACGCGCUCACCUAGGCGACGAUCGAUAGCUGGUCUGAUAGGAUGGCCAGCCACAUUGGGACUGACACACGGCCCAAACUCCUACGGGAGGCAUCAGUGGGGAAUAUUGGACAAUGGGCGCAAGCCUGAUCCAACCAUGCCGCGUGAGUGAUGACGGCCUUAGGGUUGUAAAGCUCUUUCGCACGCGACCAUAAUGACGGUAGCGUGAUAAGAAGCCCCGGCUAACUUCUUGCCAUCAGCCGCGGUAAUACGAAGGGGGCUAGCGUUGUUCGGAAUCACUGGGCGUAAAGGGUGCGUACGCGGAUUCUUAAUUCAGGGGUGAAAUCCCGAGGCUCAACCUCGGAACUGCCUUUGAUACUGGGGAUCUUGAGUCCGGAAGACGUGAGUGGAACUGCGAGUGUAGAGGUGAAAUUCGUAAAUAUUCACAAGAACACCGGUGGCGAAAGCGGCUCACUGGUCCGGAACUGACGCUGAGGCACGACAGCGUGGGGAGCAAACAGGAUUACAUACCCUGGUAGUCCACGCCGUAGACGAUGAAUGCCAGCCGUGUGGGUGAUUUAUCACUGAGUGGCGCAACUAACGCUUUGAGCAUUCCGCCUGGGGAGUACGGUCGCAAGAUUAAUACUCAAAGGAAUUGACGGGGGCCCGCA